rnacentral:rRNA from 1 species
UACGAAGGGUGCAAGCGUUACUCGGAAUUACUGGGCGUAAAGCGUGCGUAGGUGGUGAGUUAAGUCUGUCGUGAAAGCCCCGGGCUCAACCUGGGAAUGCGAUGGAUACUGGCUCGCUAGAGUGCGGUAGAGGAGAGUGGAAUUCCCGGUGUAGCAGUGAAAUGCGUAGAGAUCGGGAGGAACACCGGUGGCGAAGGCGGGUCUCUGGGCAACUACUGACGCUGAGGAGCGAAAGCGUGGGGAGCGAACAGGAUUAGAUACCGUA